rnacentral:rRNA from 1 species
GACGAACGCUGGCGGCGUGCUUAACACAUGCAAGUCGAACGAAGUGGCGAACGGGUGAGUAACGCGGAAUCAACCUGCCCUUCAGAGGGGGAUAACAGUUGGAAACGACUGCUAAUACCGCAUACUGAAGGCGGGGAUUGCGUCUGCUUCGCUAGUUGGAGGGGUAACGGCCCACCAAGGCGAUGAUCAGUAGCCGGGCUGAGAGGAUGAACGGCGACAUUGGGACUGAGAAACGGCCCAGAGUCCUACGGGAGGCAGCAGUGGGGAAACUUCCGCAAUGGACGAAAGUCUGACGGAGAAACGCCGCGUGAGGGAUGACGGCCUUCGGGGUGUAAAGAUCUGUUAAUCGGGACGCGGUACCGGAAUAGAAAGCCACGGCUAACUACGUGCCAGCAGCCGCGGUAAUAC